rnacentral:rRNA from 1 species
CCUACGGGAGGCUGCAGUGGGGAAUAUUGGACAAUGGGGGGAACCCUGAUCCAGCCAUGCCGCGUGUGUGAAGAAGGCCCUCGGGUUGUAAAGCACUUUCAGUGAGGAAGAACGCCUGGUGGUUAUUACCCAUCAGGAAAGACAUCACUCACAGAAGAAGCACCGGCUAACUCCGUGCCAGCAGCCGCGGUAAUACGGAGGGUGCGAGCGUUAAUCGGAAUUACUGGGCGUAAAGCGCGCGUAGGUGGCUUGAUAAGCCGGUUGUGAAAGCCCCGGGCUCAACCUGGGAACGGCAUCCGGAACUGUCAAGCUAGAGUGCAGGAGAGGAAGGUAGAAUUCCCGGUGUAGCGGUGAAAUGCGUAGAGAUCGGGAGGAAUACCAGUGGCGAAGGCGGCCUUCUGGACUGACACUGACACUGAGGUGCGAAAGCGUGGGUAGCAAACAGGAUUAGAUACCCGUGUAGUC